rnacentral:rRNA from 1 species
GGGCCCUCUGGGUCCAACCUCCCACCCGUGUUUAUCGUACCUUGUUGCUUCGGCGGGCCCGCCUCACGGCCGCCGGGGGGCAUCCGCCCCCGGGCCCGCGCCCGCCGAAGACACACAAACGAACUCUUGUCUGAAGAUUGCAGUCUGAGUACUUGACUAAAUCAGUUAAAACUUUCAACAACGGAUCUCUUGGUUCCGGCAUCGAUGAAGAACGCAGCGAAAUGCGAUAAGUAAUGUGAAUUGCAGAAUUCAGUGAAUCAUCGAGUCUUUGAACGCACAUUGCGCCCCCUGGUAUUCCGGGGGGCAUGCCUGUCCGAGCGUCAUUGCUGCCCUCAAGCACGGCUUGUGUGUUGGGCUCUCGCCCCCCGCUUCCGGGGGGCGGGCCCGAAAGGCAGCGGCGGCACCGCGUCCGGUCCUCGAGCGUAUGGGGCUUCGUCACCCGCUCUGUAGGCCCGGCCGGCGCCCGCCGGCGAACACCAUCAAUCUUAACCAGGUUGACCUCGGAUCAGGUAGGGAUACCACGCUGAACUUAAGCAUAUCAAUAAGCGGAGGAAAAGAAACCAACAGGGAUUGCCUCAGUAACUG